GCUCAUUUUAAAUCAAUAACCCAUUUUAAGUUUUUGCUUUCAUAUAUAAAUUGUUACAACUGAACCUUUAAGAAAAAAUUGGCUUCUCCUGCUUAAAUUAAACAUAGAAAUGUCAGUGUGAAAAAUUGGUGAGAUUCAUUUAAUGGGCAUGUUAAUAUGAAUUAGCUUAAUUCGCACUAAAUGGGAAUCAGAGUGCAGUUUUUACAAAUGCGUAUACAAAAGGAAACUGAAUACCCAGUGUGCAUAUAAGAGGAGACAGAAAUACAACUCAUGAGAAAAUUGUUACUCAACAAACCAUGAUUUAAAAAGCAUGCUUUAGUGUAAUGUGAGAAUCUAGGCAAUGUCAAACAUGUGUGCAGAGUUUGAUCUGCCUUGUUGCAAGACACAGAGAAAGCAUUCCUGGUUGGGUUCUUACCAAUUAAUUUGUUUCCCCUUGUCAUUUUUAAGGAUGGUUACUGGGGCACUCUUUAAUGCUGCAACCAAAUUAAUUUAGCCCUGCUGAGGGAAGUCUAAUAAGUCUCUUUCUCCCUGCUUCUCUGUUCUAAAGUCUAUAGGCACGGGCAUCUCUGUUUUGCUCCUCUUGUUCACUUUGCUGGAGUGGGCCAUCACCAUUUCCUCAGCACAUUCCGGAUGCCAGGCUACCUGCUGUAAUCCUGACCCAGAGUCUGUGGGUUUUGUACUGUCUCAGAUCACCAAUGGUAUGGCAGUUUCUAUGGAAAGGAAUCUUCCUCCUCCUCCAGAUUAUAAUAUGGUGAUUUCUGCUCCAAGUCAGAGUGAAGAAUCCACAACCAGAACUGUGCGAAGUGAUGCACCAGAAAUCCAGGGAAGCAGACAAUAUCAUUUUGCACCACAUCACAGAUAGCACUAAGCAGAUGUCAGGACAUUAAAACAUAUCCAUCCUUUCCUCAAAUAAAAUUCUUCCUCUGUAA